rnacentral:rRNA from 1 species
CAAUAGCGUAUAUUUAAGUUGUUGCAGUUAAAAAGCUCGUAGUCGGAUUUUGGCUGAGAACGAUCGGUCCGCCGUUAGGUGUGCACUGAUUGGUCUCAGCUUCCUGGUGAGGAGGUGUGCUUCACGGCCACUUAGUCACCGUGGUUACUUUGAAAAAAUUAGAGUGUUCAAAGCGGGCUUACGCUUGAAUAUAUUAGCAUGGAAUAACACCAUAGGACUCCUGUCCUAUUUCGUUGGUCUCGGGACGGGAGUAAUGAUUAAGAGGGACAGUCGGGGACAUUCGUAUUUCAUUGUCAGAGGUGAAAUUCUUGGAUUUAUGAAAGACGAACUUCUGCGAAAGCAUUUGUCAAGGAUGUUUUCAUUAA